AUGACUUUGAAUAGAGUAAGAGUAAGGUUGAAAAUUAAUCACCAAAUACAGAAAAUAAUGUUUUUAUACUAUUUAACAUUUCCCUCUUUUUCUCUUUCUUCCAAUUCCAACCAUUUUCUCAACCUUUUCUCUUGUUGCAAGAUUCCUUCAACCUCUUUUCUCUUGCAACAAUUUCAAAUUCAUCUUCUUCUCACACAUACUAGCUUCAAUUCAAGCUUUUUCUCACAUGAUUUGGUUAACAAAUUGAUAUUUUCAAGGGUGAUUGAUUCCGGGAUCUGUAUAAAGCACAAACCUUUGGCGGAUCUCUGA